UCCACUACAACUUCGCCAUUAUUCUGCCUAGGUAAAAACUGAUUCUGCAAUUUGUGCAACCAGAAAUCAAGUAAAUACUAGAAAAAGAAACGAUUACAUCAUGAAUUUAACAGCCACAAUAAAGUUGUAUAGAGCAAGAGUCAAAAUUCAACAAUAAAAAUCUCUCGGACAAAAGGAAUUAGAAACCAAAAACAUAGAAUUAAACUACGAAAUGCUCAAGUCUAUUAAUUCAGAAGGGGGAAUUAAGCAGCAGUUGCUUGCUGAGCGGCAGUCCUUUUUCUAGCUUCCUCAAUGAUGGAUAGCUUAAUACCCUUACCCUUGGGAAGUGAUAUCAAAGGCUUUGUCCCCUUCCCAAUAGUGAACACGUUUGCCAAACGAGUAGCAAAUUCAUGUCCAGUGGCAUCCUGAACGUGAAUUGUGUCAAAGCUGCCCUUUUGCCUCUCCCUGCUCUUAAUAACUCCAACACGCCCCCUGUUUCUUCCUCCAGUAACCAUAACAACGUUACCAACAUCAAAUUUGAUAAAAUCAACGAUCUUGUUUUCCUCCAGAUCCAGCUUAAUGGUGUCAUUGGCUCUGAUGACAGGGUCUGGGUAUCGGAUGGUACGACCAUCAAAGGUGUUCAGGUAUGGAAUACCUUUCUGACCAAACUGCACCGACUUUACCUUGCACAGCUUAAACUGCCAUAUAUACACAUACAAGGAGGAAUACACAUUAAACCAUAACCAUUAAUUGUAGGAAACUUCGAAACAAAAUGCAAACAAUUAACUAAGCAGGUUCUGAAAUUGACAUUUAUUGGUUCAUUAGUAUCAACACAUAACAGUGAAGCCAGUCUUCUAUGUUACUUAUUAUAUAUUUACAGUAUAAUGGAAAAUAGGCUGCUAAUGAUAUAAGUACCUUGACAGUAUUAUGGCAAAUAGAAUAAAUAUAUUAAAAAAUAUACGUAUAAAAAGUACCUUUGCCUCAUCAUCCCUGACAGAAUGAAGACGGAAACGACCUUUGGUGUCAUAGAGCAGGCGGAAGUUCUCGUUUGUUUUAGGUAUAGAUACAACAUCUACAUAGAGAAAUAAAAUUUAGAACGAAAUCAUGGAAUCCAGCCAAAACAAAACAAUUAUACUGCAAAUGACAAACACUUGGUUCGGUGGGGGUAGAGAGAGUCAGCGACAAGUCUCAGGGACUAAUUUGACCGACAAAUUAGUGCUCACAAUUUAUCAUAACAAAUUCACAAAACAGGACGAUUCAAGAAACACGGGUAAACAUUGAAAGUGUUCGUAAAUGAAACAGAGAGUCAGGGUGUAUUCAGCAUUCUUAAGAGCAUGAAUCUCGUUAAUUCAGUAAAUGCUCUACUUCCUAUUCAACAUCCUGAAUAUAUUCUUUUAUCUGUUUCGACCUACAGAGAUAUCACUAAAUAAUUCGUAUUCAUAAAACAUCAAAUUCAAACAUCAAAUUCAAACAUCAAUAACACUGUCUUACACAACAGCAUAUUAUUAACCUUCAACCCCAGAAUACAAUACUGCAUAAAUUUAGCCCUAUAAAAUUAGAAUGCCACAAACAUACCCAUGAAACCAGAAGGAUAUGUCUUGUCUGUCCUGACUUUGCCAUCAACAAGCACAUGUCGCUGCAUCAGAAUAGCAAUGACUUCACGGUAGGUCAGAGCAUACUUCAACCGGUUCCGCAGGAUGAGUAUGAGGGGAAGGCACUCCCUUGAUUUGUGGGGUCCAGAUGAGGGUUUGGGAGCCUAUACAUGAAUGAAAAAGUAUACAUCAGUUUCUAAAAUGCUUCCCUUAACUGAUCAAAUGAUGAAGAAACUUUCACUUACAAAUGCACCACCCAAUUUGUCAAGCAUCCAAUGCUUAGGAGCAUUGAGCCUCUUCAAAUGUUUCUUCAAUCCCCUAGCCUGUAACAGUCACAAGCACCAAAGUUAAAAACUCAAAACACAAAAUAAAAGGAAGAAACAAACAGCAAACCUAAAAUUAAAUAGAUAAAACUUAUCAAUGGAUCCUCAAAAAAAUACCAUGUUACAAACUUAUCCUCCACAAGUUUAUUUGGAUAAAUAGAGUGCAGAAAAGAGUAAAAUCAAAAAACCCAGUGUACAGAAUUCGGAGGUAAAACCCAUUGAGUUAAAAUAUGACAUAAAAUGGAUUAAUACUUGCUAAAAUGAAGAUUCAAUCCAAACAGAAAACAAAAAGGACUAAGAAACAGAUCAAAACCUAAUAUGAAUAUGAGAAAUAGAAAGAGGAUACCAACCAUCUUUGGAUUUGCAAAGGAAACUAGUGCCCCACCUCUACUGCACUAAAGUGGAGAACUGAAGGGCCGCAACUGUAUAUUUAAAAAAAAUGGUUUUUUUUACCUAUUUCAUCCCAUAAGCUAUUAAAUAUUAAUAUUUUAAUUAUUUAUAAAAAUUUAUAAUUUUGAAAAUUAUUUUAAUAUUUUGUAUUUUAUUUAUAUUUUUAUUAAAGAGAUUUUAUUAAUAUUUUGUUAUAAAUGUAAGUUGGCAAAAUAUCAUAACUCGCACUCCAUAAAUUUAAAUUACACCCAUAUAAAUUCAAAUUCAAAUUUUACUUUUCUGAAAUGUGUACUGUGAAUUGCAUUAUUGCAUUAUUGUGUUCUAUGAUUAUAUUAUUUUUAAUAAAAAUAUAUUUUACAUUAAAAUAUAUAUAUAUAUAUAUAUAUAUAUAUUAUCUAUCUAUAAAAGAGAAUUUAUAUAUUAAGGGAAUUUUCUGUUAUAACUAUUUCUUUUAUAUAUAAAUAUAUUCUUAUUUUAUCUUUAUUAAUAUUUUAUUAAUUUAUUAUACUUAUUUUGUAAUUUCAAGGUAGUUUUUUUUAAUGUGGAGAGUGAAGAAAUUGAUGUGUUGUUGUUUUAGAUUAUUUUUUUUAAUUAUUAUAAAGUUAUGAAUUUAUGAAAUUUGUUAUUGGUUUUAAGUUGACUGUUUUAAUCUUCUUAUUACUUUUUAAAUUUUCAAUUUGAUUUAAAUUAACCAUUUGAUCUUGAGUUUUGACCAUUUGGUUAGGAAACUGUUUUUCUGUUUUAAACUAAUUUUCUUUUUUAUUUUUAAAAUUAAAGAUAUUUGUAAAUUUAUCAUAUAUAACUAUUAUGUUAGCUAUGCUUCUUUCGUAGGUGAACUUAAAUAAUUUAUUUGUCUUCUUAUAUAUAUUUAUAUUUAUUAAAAUAUACUAUAAUAAUAUUAAUAUUGUUUAUUCAAAUUUUAAUAUUAAAUAUAGAUAUAUAAAUGAUAAAAGUAAAAAAUGUGGACCUGUUAUACCUAGAAAGAGGAUUUCUUUUUAUAACCGUUCUUUUUAGACAAAUUUUUUAUAAUUCUACCCUUAUUUAAUAUAUUUUAUUUUAUUAGAACAAUUGAGUAUUUGUCAUUUCAUAUGAAUUACUUAAAAAGAUAAAAUUAUUUUUUAAAUUAUGCAAACUAACUUUUCACUCUUCUCUUAAUUCCUUAUUUUAAGGCAACACGAGAAAGAAAGAAAGAAAAAAAGCACACUCUCACCCUCACUCCAUUCUCACAUAAAAUCUCAAGUAUCACAUAAAAUAACUUUCAUUUUCAAUCACUCUCUCCAUUCAAAUUUCAAUUACUCUCUCCACUCAAUUUCAAGCAACAUUAUUUUCUGUGGUAAAAUCAUCAUUCUUUUGUAUCUACCAUCAAGUUAAUUCUAAUAUCAACGUGAAUAUCAUCACACUCUCCGAUCCCAAAACCACCAAUGGAAGAAAAGAAAAAGUUUGGAGAAGAGAAACUCAAACCAUAAGAGAAAAAAAAAGUUGAUUAAUCAAUUCAUCAGUUUUAUUUUACAUGUUAUUUUUUGCUUUCCAAUUUUCACUCAUCCAAAAUUAUUUCUAUAUGUAUGUUAAAUUUUUAUCAUUGUAGAAGUUGAGCAGAAGAGGAAAAUGCAGAUACUCAUGCGAAGUUUCUCUAGUAUAUAUAAAGAGGAUUUCCCAUUUUAACUGUUUUUGGUUAUAUACAAAUAUGUUCAUAUUUUAUCCUUAUAUCAGUAUUUCAUUUUAUUAUUUUAUAUUUAAUUAUUUCGUCAUUUUAUAAUUACUUAAAUUUAAAACUAAAAAAAAACGAAAAAAAGAACAAAAAGAAAAAGAAAUAUAAAAAAAAUAUUGUAUACCACAAAAAACUUAGUUUGUUCUUUCAUUCUGACCAAUCUAAAGUAUUUCUGGUUGAAUUAGUGUCAUUAUUGUUUAUUUUAUUCUAAUCAAUCAAUACACUUGUAUAAAUUCUGAUUAUUUAAUUGUUAAAAUUUCUCAUUUUUAUUUUUUUUAUUUUGUUUUUCAUUUUCAUAUAAGGGCAGAAGAGGAAGAAAAUAGAGAAGCAGAAUAUCCCAAACAGUUACUUGAAUACCGAACAUUCAGAUUUUUUUGCACAGGUACAAAGUUAUCUUGACAUCAUUGUGAAUGUUGACGUCGAUGGAAGAUUGAUGUCUUCCGCAUUGUUGUGAAAAAAAAAAAAAAUUAGAAAAUAAAUAUUUUUUUGAGUUUAUUAGAUUCUCCUUUUUGUGUACACAAAUUUAUUCUUGUUUUAUGCUCAUUAAUAUUUUAUUUUAUUCUUAUUAAUAUUUUAUUUUAUUAAUUUAUCUUGAUUGAUUAUUUUGUCAUUGUAUAAUUUUAACGUUAAUAUUUUUAGUUUUAAAAAUUUAUUUUAUUUAUUGUCAAAACCACAUUAUUUAAGUAUAGAAAUUCUAGCACCAGAACAAACACACAUUUCUUUUGAGGUUUCGCUACUCUUUUCUUUUUCUCAGUUUUUGUAUUUGUACAAGGAUACAUUUUGGAAUUGCAAAGGAAACUAAAAACUUCUAUUGCACUAAUGGUUGAGUUCUGGAUCAUGCCUUGAUUCUAUUCUCUUUAAAUAGAGAUUCCUGUUAUGAACCCUAUAUAUAAAAUCAAAAUUCUAAUUCUAAUUUUGUAUGAUUGGAUACCCAUUUUGUAUUAUAUGAUUAUAUUAUUUUAAUAAAAAAUAUAUUUUAGAUUUAGACAUGUGUGGAUUAUAUAUGAUUAAAUUAUAAAAUGUUAAUGCAAAAUUUAUGAAUGAAAACAUUAUCUAGGAACUAAAAUAAUUUUAGUAUAAUAAAAAAAAUUAUUUGUCUUCCAACUAGAAAUCAAUGAAUCCAAAAGACAAAAAUAAGUUUUUUCAUAUAUGAGUUUUUUUUAAAAUUGAUAUUUAAAAAAUAAACUUCUAAAAUAAACCAAUUAAAAAUUAAACAAAUUUUAAAUUUAUUAUUGACUAGAUUUUAGUUUUAAUUAAUAUCAAUAAUAUAAUGGUUUGAGAUCAAAAUUUUACUGAGAAAAAUAUGUCUUAUUCUAUUAUUUAUAAUAUUAUUUGCUCUCAAUAAUUAUGAUAAUAAUAUUUCACACCUAAACUAAUUUUAAUAAAUUAUCAUAUGUAUCAGUCCUAUCUCAUUACCAAUAUAUUACAUAUAUAACAAAUUACAAUUGAAUAUUUUUUAAUAAAGACUUAGGAGUAGUCGAUCAUAUAGUCAUUUGUCACACACUUAAUGCCUUAUUUGUCACACUUAAUGUAUUGUAAAAGAAUAGAAUUGCAUAAAGCAUGUCCAACCAAAUCAACAUUAAUUAUUUAUGUUAAAAUGAUUACUUGAAAAACUUAUAAAUUUAUUUAUUUUAGAUUUUUAUUUAAGUAGAAAAUAAAAUAAUUUAAGAUUUUAUAUUUACUUUAGGUUUUGAAAAAUUAAAAAAUUUGUUUAUUUUAGAUUUUUAUUUAAGUAUGACAUAAAACAAGGAUUUGUGUUUAUUUAAGAUUUUCAAUAAUUUAGAAAUUUUAUUUAUUACAAUUUUUUAUUAAAUUUUUUUAAUUUAAGUAAGACAUUAAAUAAUUUAGAUUUAUAUUUAUUAAAUAAUUUAAGAAUUUUAUUUAUUUCAUAUUUUUAUUUAAGUAUGAUAAUAAAUAAUUUAUAAUUUUUAUUUAUUUAGGAUUUUGAAUAAUUUAGGAAUUUAAUUUAUUUUAUAUUUUUAAUGAAGUAGAACAUUAAAUUAUUUAGAUUUUAUAUUAUUUCAGACUUUAAAAUUUUUAGAAAUAUUAUUUAUUUUAGAUUAUUAUUUAAGUAGAUAAUAAAAUAAUUUAUGAUGUGUAUUUAUUUAAAAUUUUGAAAAACUUAGAAAAUUAAUUAAUUUUUUUUUAUUUAAGAAUGACAUUAAAUAAUUUAGAAUAUGUGUUUAUUUAAAAAAUUAACAAUUUAGGAGUUCUCUUGAUUUUUUUUAUUUUUAUUAAAGAAUUACAUUAAUUUUUUUUAAUUUAUAUUUAUUAAGGAUUUUGAAAAACUUACAAAUUUUAUUUAUUUAAGAUUUUUAUUUAAGUAGAAAAUAAAAUAAUUUAAAAAUUUGUAUUUAUUUAAGAUUAUAAAAAAUUUAUUUAUUUGAGUUUUUAUUUAAAUAUAACAUAAACUAAGUUAGAAUUUAUUUUUAUAUAAGAUUUUGAAUAAUUUAAGAAUUUAAUUUAUUUCAUAUUUUUAUUUAAGUAUAAUAUUGAAUAAUUUAGAUUUUGGAUUUAUUUAGGAUUUUUAAAAUUUUAGAAAUAAUAUUUAUUUUAGAUUAUAUUUUAUGUAGAAAAUAAAAUAAUUUAUUUAGAAUUUUGAAACAAUUUAAAUUUUUUAUUUAAGAAUGACAUUAAAUAAUUUAAGAUAUGUAUUUAUUUAGGAUUUUGAAUAAUUUAAGAAUUUUUUUUUAUUUUUUAUUUUUAUUUAAAAUUGACAUUAAUUUUUUUUUAUUUGUAUUUAUUUAAGAUUUUGAAAAACUUAUAAAUUUUAUAAUUAAUUAUCUAAUUCGUCCCUACAUUUAGGGUUAAUAUUCAAUUUAGUAUAGUGGUUUUAAAAAAAAAUCAAUUUGGUCCAUAUGUAUUUUAAAAUGUAUCCAUAUUGGUCAUUUUCGUUAAGUCACAGCUUGCGGCAUCAAGUGAUGCUUAUGUGGCAGAGAGAGAGGUGCUUAUAUGGCUGACAGAGGUGCUUACGGAGUUCCAUCUCAUGCACAGGGGUUCCAAAAUCCUUCCUCCAUCACCCCUGUGCUAGAAGGGUACAGUGAUGCUAACUGAAUCUCUGAUUCAGAUGAGACAAAAUCCACUAAUGGUUAUGUAUUUACACUUGGGGGUGGUGCAAUUAUAUGGAGAUCAGCCAGACAAACUAUUAUUGCAAGAUCAACAAUGGAAUCUGAGUUUGUUGCUCUCAAAAUGGCUUGUAGUGAAGAUGAGUGGUUGAAAAACUUCUUAGCAAACAUUAUGUUAGGAAUGAAACCAACCUCAUUUGUAUCAAUGCAUUGUGAUUGCCAAUCGACAAUAGUUAUAGCUAAAAAUAAAACUUACAAUGGAAAGAACAAACAUAUACAAUUGAGACAUAAUUUAGUGAAGCAGCUCCUAAAGAGUAGAACGAUUUCUAUUGGCUAUGUCAAGUCAUAAUGGAAUUUGGCAGAUCCUCGGACAAAACCCAUAGGGAGAAAACUAAUUUUAGAAAUAUCGAGGGGAAUGGGACUUAAGCCACUUACAAACAAACAAGUGAUGGAAACCCAACCUUUGUAAUUGGAGAUUCCAGGAAUAAGGUUCGUAUGGGUAAAAACAAGUCACUUGUUAGUUCUGCUAGCACUAAUAUUGAUUUAAAAUCAAUUUUUUCCAUUCUUAUAGUGUGUGAAAGUGCUAGAUAUUACAUUAUCGAGAGGAUAAACUUUAUGGUUAAAAUUCUAAGAUAAAAGAGUUUUAACGAUUUACAAAGUUGUAAUGAUUUUUAUAUCCCUUACGGGUGGUGUAUGAUUUGCAGCAUAUACUUGAUGAAAUCACCUAUAUAAGUGUCAAGUGGGGCCGCUUGCAUGAGAUCUUGCCGAGAUCUCUAUAACACUCAUGAAUAUCGAGCACGUGCAUGGCCUAGUAAGCGCAACACGUUGAUAACAACAAGUAAUGUGGGGGUGUAUUGUAAUUUAUAAACCUCUAACACAUACUAAGUGUCUUGGUUCAUAUAACUUGUUAUACCAACUACACUUUGUGUUAAGUUCAUCAAUCUAAUAUUGGUUCAUAUAGCUUGUUAUACCAGCUCAAUGCAUUACAUCUUAGAUGAACCCAAAAUUUUCUUUUUUUUUUCUUUAUCUAUAUGUUAUAUCUUUUGCGGGGAUUGUUGUAAACCCUAAACAAAUCAAACGCGUAUAGAUCGAACGCGUAGAGAUAUUUUGCAAACCGCCAAAAUAGAAAAUGUUACCGUUGCAAGUGCAUGUUUCGCUUCUCCUUACCUAGUCUUUCAGAAACUUUGCUGCAGUGGAGAAGUCGUUCCGCCCCUGCAUUGCCUGGUUUUUUGGAGGUUGAACAAUGUUGGUGUAGUUGAGAAGCUGAAACGUUCAAAUGCGGUUUAUGAAGAUGCAAAUCGGUUAUGAAAAUGCAACACAUUUCUUGGUUCCUCUCCCUAUAUAAAGAGAGGUUUCAUCCUCUUCACUCACACAUCUUCAUUGUCUCUCAUCUUCCGCAUCUCACAUUCAGCUUCCUCUCACCUUUUCACCUUUUUCCUCUUUCUCUCUCUUCACUUAUUUUAUUUUCUUUUACUUUAUAAUUAUUUUUCAGGGUUUAUUGGAUUCUUACUCUUUUAAAAGUAACUUGCUAGUUCUAAUCCUCAAAAAUUUCUAAUAAGUUUUUGUUGUAUCCUGGAGGACUUACGCAAUACACCACAAAUAAAUCCUUACAAACAGUGAUCAUUCACGCCUCCGAAGUCAAUUUUGUUUGUAUUUUGAAGCCUCAUUUACUACAAUACAUUCACGUUCCUAGUACCAGAAUCUGGAUAAGAGAUCGAGAUUUGGGCAGAGAAAUUGGAUUGAAAGUGAGCUCCUUGGGGUAAGGCAAAACAGAACCCUGACGAGGCCUUUAACAACGUAGUCGUUGUAUUAGAGGAGAGUGACAAUGACGUGGUAAACGCCCAUGUAAAAUAUAGGGGUUUCGGGGGUUUAAGUAACUUAAAAGAAAAGAGACACAUCCAUAGGUAAUUGUGAUAUAUAACAUCUUAAAUUAGAAAUUUUAACAUAGUAUUAUGAUUUUUAAAGUAGUUAUUAUAAAAGUUAAUAAGUUUACCAUACAUGGUUAUGUGUGACUAAAGAUGGUGCAAUGUUUUUUACAUUGUCAAUACAUAACCUAUUUUUUUCUUAAACUUUCUUUGAUAUUUUAACUAAGUAUUCGCUAAAAAGGAAAUAGAUCCAAACAUGGUAAAUGGAGGUGAAAGUAGAACAUAGAAUGCUUAUAUGGUUAAUAUGAUUUGAGCAUAUCAUGAGGAAUAAUAUUUCAUUAUUUGUGGUCAUUAUUAGUAGCACUGAUUCUGAAUCAAAUUCAUUUUCUGUCAAAUGAGCCUUAUUAUUUUUCUUGUCUUUUUUUUUUGGCAUUGUCAUUACAAUUAGAGUAAUGGACAAAUUUAUCAUAACUAUACCAUUUUACUCUUCUUAUAUUAAGAUUCGUUCUUAAACCCCUCUUUUUAUAUUGAUUUUUCCUAUAGUAUAGAAAUUUUCUCUUAAUAUUGUUAUUGCUACAACGAGAGUGAUCUUAAGAGGUGAAGUCAUUUAAAUCUCUAUUUAUGUCUCCUUUAAAUCCACCUACCACUUUUAUUCUAACCACCACAACCUCUCUAUUCUUUUGACUAUUUUUGUCUUGCAAAGCUUGUGUUUGUACCCUUUUUAUGACUUCUUUUCUCAAUCACUAUCCACUAAUGUGUUUCUAAAGAGUUUUGCAAUAGUCCUAAGAUUACAACUCCUCUAUAACAACAAUUAUAUGGUUAAAUCGAGAAGAUAGGCUUCUAAGUAGUUUUUCAAAAAAUUUAGAAUUAGUCAACAUCUCAUCACAGACUCGCAUGAAUUAGCCACAACAUGGAUUUUGUUGAAAUAAUCAAUAAGUGUUUUUUGCUAACUCAUGGAUGGCAGUUCAUACAGUAUUUGAAGAUAUUACAACCUUACACAUGCUUAUUUUAGAAUAUCCCACACUUGCUUUGAUGAUGUGACUUUAUAAUUUUUUUAAAAAUUUGUAAAAACAAUUAAUGCAAUAAAACUUGAGUCUUGCAAUAUGACCUCUCAAUCUCUUUAUAGGUUUUCUUUUGUUCUUGGGAGGUUUUUGAAAUCCAAGAGUAGCAUCCAUUUUCAUGCAUCAAUCGACAUAGUCGUUUCCACUUACUAAGAGGUUAUGUAACAUUUAGAAUAGUCAUGAAAGCAUACUCACAAUAUUGCUUCAACUCACCGAAAAUGUUGAUCUCUCAUUCACACGGGUCUUUCACACAAGCUCUAGAUACCAAUAUAUUAAGAAUAAAACAAACAUAACCAUAAAUAAAUACAAAAUAGAUGGAGAAAAUACAAUAGACAAAAAAAAAUGUUUUAUCAUUUCUAAUUAAAAAAUACAUAAAUACAAUUAUUUAUAUGAAAUGUUAUAACUGUAUUUUUUUCUUUUUUCUUACAUCUCAAACACAAUUACAUAAUCUCUCCUUAGAGUUUAUAUUUAUGAUAUAUACGAAAAAUUUUACUUGUUGUAUAUGUAUUUCAAUUAAUUACAACUUGGAAUUUCCGACAUUAAAUUUUUAUUUUAGAAAAUAAAUUUAUAUUUAACUCAAUUUCACAUAAUUGGUUGUAAAAUAAAAUUUAUAUAUAUAUAUAUAUAUAUAUUAAUUACUACAAACACACCAUUACACAACAUAUCAUUUAUAUAUUAUAUACUUACAGGUUGGAUUGAUGACUAACUUAUUAACAAAAUAUUAUGAAAAGUUAAAUAUUUUUUUUGUCUCAGUUUUCAUUUAAAUUUAAUAAUCAAAUAUAAAUUUAAAAAUAAAAUAUUGUCAAAUUAGUAAAUCAAGAAAUUUACUUAAUGGCUUAUCUCAAAGAUCAUAAGCUUUAAGCUGCAACGUUUAUUUAUUCUAAAUUAUAAUCGCUAGAGAAGAAAGUUUUUACGGGUCCACAAUUUUAAAUAAAAGUAAUAAUGAAGCAAUAAUAUAUAGAGUCCCGAUUUUUGGACAACUCUAAAUGAGUUGUUCCACCAUACAACUGUCAACGUGGCAGAACAAAUAUUAUUUUAUUUGAAUUGUGGGGUUCAGGAAAAAUCUGAAAUUAAGUGUUUAGGGUGCGGUAGAAUGUGAAAUUAGGUUUUAGGAAAGGGGCUGAAAUUAGGUUUCUUCUUCUCCACCACAUCGUCUUCUUCACCACAUCAUCUUCUCCACCAUAUCGUCUUCUCCACAACAUCGUCUUCUCCACCACAUCGUCUUCUCCGCAAGCUAUUUGUUCCAAGUUCUCCGCAACCUUUAUGUGCAGCGGCAUUCGUGGUCGUCGUAGGUGCAUCAAUUUUCAGGGUGGUUUGGCGGUGGUGUCGUCUUCGAUAUCCUCCUUUCACGGUGGUUGGGCGGCGGUGUCAUCUUGGACAUCCUGUUUUCACAGUGGUUGGGUGGCAUUCUCCUCUUGCACAUCCUGUUUUGAAAGGUAAUACAUUUAUUUUUUUCAUUUGUUUAUUAAGUGAAACCUUGUUGUUGUGUGAUUUUUGUUGUUGGGUCAUUCUUGUUAUUUGUCCUGUGGCGACCCUUGUAUGAGCCAAACCUGAUUUUUCGCAUAGACUGCUAAGAUAAAUAUAUAUUCGUAUUUGAUGUUGGGUUUACUUUGUGGGUCUGUAUUUCACUAUUAUUGUAGUAUUUUUUUUUCAUAGUAGCAUGUUAGGAUACAUAAAGAAAAGGGAUUGGUGGAGCAACUCAUUUAGAGUUGUCCAAAAACUGGGACCCAUUUUCUGGAGUAUGACUUGAUUUUUUGUGGAAAAUAUUUUAUUGUUGGAAAUAUGUGUCUUACUGUAAAAAUAUGCAGAGUGUUUGUUUGGAAUGUUAGGUUGAUGAGGUACCAAAAUUUUUAAGGAAAUUUUGUAAUGUUGACAUGGAUAAGAAAGUUAAAAAGAGAGUGUUAGUGUUUGUGUUAGUGUUAGUGUUGAUGUUGGUUGGGGAGGGCACUAGGUGGGGAGAAAGUGGGUUAAAUCGGUUUUUUAUAUAGGCCAACAAAGUAGGAUAGUGUCAAGUAACCACAAUGUUCACUGAAUUUAGAGGGUUGCAGUAUGUUGUGUCCCUAGUAGGAGUAUGUGGUGACCCACAUGAGACUUCCUGCACAAACUUAACUGGGGAACUUUUUCUUGAAAUGUCAAUGGGGAGAAAGUGGAUUAAAUGAGUUAUUUAGAGGUUAUGAGAGUAGGACCCUGUGAAUUAACCCCAAAAUUUAGUAAAGUUAGAGACUAACAGUACGUGGUGACCCUUCAAGGAAUAUGUGGUGACCCACUUCUUACUUCCUGCACAAACCCAAUGAAACUUGUUAUGGAAAUAUGAAGUGAGUGUUCAUGUUUAGGGUUUGGGAUGGGCAUGAUGUGGGGAGAAAGUGUCUUAGAUCAAGACUUUAGAGGGCAUGAGUGUAAGGCAAUGACAAGUGAGCAGAAAUCUAGUAAACUUAGAGGGUUGCAGUAUGUGGUGACCCCAGUAAGAGUAUGUGGUGACUCACAUCACAGUUCCUGCACAGACCUAACAGGGGAACUUUUUCUUGAAAUGUCAAUUGUGUUCGUGUUGGUUAGGGAGGAACACGAGGUGGGGAGAAAGUGAAUUAAAUGAGUUAUUUAGAGGCUGUGAGAGUAGGACCCUGUGAAUUAACCCCAAAAUUUAGUAAAGUUAGAGACUGACAGUAUGUGGUGACCCUUCAGGGAAUAUGUGGUGACCCACUUCUUACUUCCUACACAAACCCAGUGAAACUUGUUCUGGAAAUGGGAAGUGAGUGAGUGUUGCUUGUAGUGGGCGAUGAAGUGUGAAUUGUUUCAUUUUUUAAAGAUUGAUGUUCUUUCAUUGUUGUUUGGUUUUAAAUAACGUAUUCAAUGUUGACGAACAUAUGCAGACGUCUUACGUUAAUGAUAAAGACGAACCCAGUGAGCAAGGCAUACCUAAAGAGCAAGGCGUACACGAAGAGCAAGGCCUAUCUGAUGAGCAAGGUGUACCCGAAGAGCAACAUGUACCCGAACAGGAAGACGUACCUGAAGAGUAAGACGUACCCCAAGAGCAAGACAUACCCAAAGACCAAGAUGGGGGAGAAGAAAAAAGUAUCAUAUUCCCCCGAGUGAAGCAUAGAGCAAGGAAACGUGUGAAGUCGGUUGUGAUGAAAUCACCAUGGACUAGGUAUGGAAGGGGAAAAAAUGAUUUUGUUAGUCAUAAUUGAAAGGGAUCGUACAUGACAUGUUUAGUACUUAAGUAUGUUUAUUACGAAGUAGUUGUUAGGAAUGAUACAUGUUUAUUUCAUUGGGUGUAAUGUGGUUAGAGAAUUUAAGACAUGUAUUUAGCAACUGCGUUGUAAUUUUAGUAACUCUAACUUGGUUGGACUUUUUGAAGUUUUAUUUAAUUUUAAUUGUCUUCCAUUUAUGUGGUUGAAGUGAACAUAUUUUUUAAAUUUGAAUGUAUGACAGUGUCAACACACACUAAGUUNNNNNNNNNNNNNNNNNNNNNNNNNNNNNNNNNNNNNNNNNNNNNNNNNNNNNNNNNNNNNNNNNNNNNNNNNNNNNNNNNNNNNNNNNNNNNNNNNNNNNNNNNNNNNNNNNNNNNNNNNNNNNNNNNNNNNNNNNNNNNNNNNNNNNNNNNNNNNNNNNNNNNNNNNNNNNNNNNNNNNNNNNNNNNNNNNNNNNNNNNNNNNNNNNNNNNNNNNNNNNNNNNNNNNNNNNNNNNNNNNNNNNNNNNNNNNNNNNNNNNNNNNNNNNNNNNNNNNNNNNNNNNNNNNNNNNNNNNNNNNNNNNNNNNNNNNNNNNNNNNNNNNNNNNNNNNNNNNNNNNNNNNCAACGAAAUUCCUCAUCAGAUGGUGGACAUAUGUCAAAUUUUAAAACCUAUAGGCAUGAAUCAGAUGGUGUACAUAUGUUAAAUUUUAAAACCUAUAGGCAUGAAUAUUGUAACGAAAGGCACAGUUGUUUGUACUAUAGUUAUAAUGAAAGCUAAAUACCUUAACAAUGUUGUUUAUGGUUAUAUAUUAAGGUAGAAUGUUCUUUGAUUCGAACUAAAUAUGACUACCUAUAACAAUAUUAAUGAUUUCAUGAAAUAUGAAAUGGACUUAUUUGAAAAAAGAGUUUUAUGGAAGAUAAAUACAUUCUUUAGCACAAAGACUGAUCCUACUGCAAUUUGUGAUCCAAAUUCCGGAUCUUUUAACACCUUUGCAUGUACACUUGCUCUAACUAUUCCUGUUGGAUCCUGUAAUAAAGAUGUGUAUAAUAGUAAUUUUUUUGUUACAUAAACUGAAAGGAUCGAAAGAGUACAUAAGGAUGUAAUCUUGACGAAUGUGAACAAUGUAUUAAGGAUGGAGUUAAUGAAUGACACAUGUACAAUUUUGUUAUGUAAUAUUGAACAAUUGUGGUACAUGUUCAGCCACCCACAUGCAAUGACUGGUUGUAUAUGUUUGAAUGAAAGUUUUUUUACCAUAUUCAAAAUAUUUUGUAAGAUUACAGUGUACAUGGUUAUCCCGAAAAUGCGGAUAAUUUAUUCUAAAUCGAUCAAUUAUGUGAGUAGUAUUAGCAGUCAUGCAUUUUCCCUCAAUGGUUCCAUUUUAGCUUCUACUAAAAAAUUGGAUUGGGCCAAAAUGGUAAACUGCUCAAGGGGUCCACUUUAGGUUCUACUACAAAAAUUGGAUUGAGCGAAAACGGGGCAGUGCUGAAGGGGUCCAUUUUAGCUUGUACGAAAAUAAUUUAGAUUGACGAAAUAGGCAAGUGCUAAGGGAGUUCAUUUAGGCUUGCACGAUUAUUUUUGGAUUGAGCGAAAACGAGACAGUGCUGAAGGGGUCCAUUUUAGCUUGCACGAAAAUAAUUUGGAUUGAUCGAAAAUAGGACAGUGCUAAAAGAGUCCAUUUUAGCUUACAGGAAAAUUUUUGGUUUGAGCGAAAAUAGUCCAGUGUUGAAGGAGUCCAUUUUAGCUUGCAUGAAAUUUUUUGGAUUGAGCGAAAACGGGGCAGUGCUGAAGGGGUCCAUUUUAGUUUGCACGAAAAUAAUUUGGAUUGAGCGAAAAUANNNNNNNNNNNNNNNNNNNNNNNNNNNNNNNNNNNNNNNNNNNNNNNNNNNNNNNNNNNNNNNNNNNNNNNNNNNNNNNNNNNNNNNNNNNNNNNNNNNNUAUUUAUAACUUUUUUUUGGCUGAGUCCAGCGAACUAAGAACGAAGUCAUACUUAACCACGAACGACUGUUAAAUUAACCUUCCACAGUAUGUGGCACCUGCUAAUGGAUCCUUUGGGUUUGAAUACGAAUAAAAUCAUUUCUAGAAAAACCUCUCAUCAUAAUUACAAAUGAUGGAAACUAAUUUUAAGUGUAAUUAGAAGGUUUGUUGCAUCUUAUGGUACAACAAUAUUCGUCUUCAAUUCUCAGCAUUAAAAAGUUCGCACAUUAUUCAACUCAAUGGAAGUGUAUGUAAUCCAUUAUGUUUCUACAGUUAUGAAUGCUCCUAGGAUACACUAAAACAUGUAAUGAAUAACUACAUAAUUGCAGAACAUGCAGCUUCACAUGCAACGCACUCUCAACCACCAUCAUUAUGAAGUUCCACGAAAGUUGAACUCCCUCAACACAUUUUCUCUUUCUGCAUUACGUGCAUCAAGGACCCAAUUACAAACCAUUUCUUGACGGAAUNNNNNNNNNNNNNNNNNNNNNNNNNNNNNNNNNNNNNNNNNNNNNNNNNNNNNNNNNNNNNNNNNNNNNNNNNNNNNNNNNNNNNNNNNNNNNNNNNNNNAAUCAAUUUUCAGUGCAUAAUAAAACUUAUAACUUGUACUCUACUAGUGAAGGGAACAAAUACGUACGUUGUUGUAUUCAGGCAUCGUCUUUCCGUCAUAGUCAACCAUACCAUUUCACAGCUCAAUAUAUUUCAAAACCAAUACUCAACAAUCAUAACUACAUAAAGAAAAGCACAUAAAAAUAUUUACAUAUGAAUAUGCAUAAAAAUAACAAAAGUUUUCAUUUCAAUACUAACCCGUUUAGCUGUAUAGGAAGUUUUUGUUUGACUACCUUGAUGGGGGGACUAUCCACCCCAACCAACACACACUUCACAUUUCUAGAAUAAAUUUGCAUUGGUGUGUACAGGAAGUCUAAUGUGGGUCACCACAUGUUCCUACUUGGGUCAUCACAUACUGCAAUCCUCUAAGUUGAGUGAAUAAUUGCUCACUUGACACUGCCUUGCACUCAUGCCCUCUAAAGACCUGAUCUAACACACUUUCUUCCCACGUAAUGUCCACCCCAACCAACACGCACUUCACAUUUCCAUAACAAGUUUGCACUGGGUGUGUACAAGAAGUCUAAUGCGGGUCACCACAUCUUCCUACUUGGGUCACCACAUACUGCAAUCCUCUAAGUUGAGUGAAUUUUUUAUCACUGGACGCUACCCUACACUCAUGGACUCUCAAAACCUGAUAUAACACACUUUCUGCCCACAUCAUGCCCAACCUAACCAACACUAACACGCUCUUCACAUUUACAUAAUAAGUUUGCACAGGGACUGUGCAGGAAUUAUAAUGUGGUCACCACAUAUUCCUUCUAAGAUCACCACAUACAACAAUGCCCUAAGUUGAGUGAAUUUGUGAUCACUGGACACUGCCUUACACUCAUGGACUCUAAAAUCUGAUCUAACGCAUUUUCUGCCAACAUCAUGCCCAUCCAAACCAACACCAACACUCACUUCACAUUUCCAGAAUAAGUUUGCAAAGGGAUUGUGCAGGAAGUUUAAUGUGGUCACCACAUAUUCCUACUAGGGUCACCACAUACAACAAACCUCUAAAUUUAGUGAAUUUGUGAUCACUGGAUACUGCCCUACACUCAUGCUGCAUACUGUGAUUUCGGUAUAUAAAUGGAUAAAAACAACUCUACAUACAUGGAUAACAACAACUUAACAAAAAGGAUAUGGUGCAAACUAUGUUUCUUCAUAUUUGUUGGGUUUAUUGAACGGCUAUCCAAUUGUAUAUAAUUAGGGCCAAAAUCACANNNNNNNNNNNNNNNNNNNNNNNNNNNNNNNNNNNNNNNNNNNNNNNNNNNNNNNNNNNNNNNNNNNNNNNNNNNNNNNNNNNNNNNNNNNNNNNNNNNNUUGAAUCAAAAUAGGCUCUACAACAACAUCAAAAUCACACAACAACAAUGUUUCACUUCAGAAUCCAUUGAAUAAAAAAUAUAUUACCUUUAUCACCUAACCACCGUGAAAAGAGAUGGAGGGCGUCCACCGAGCAAACACCGACCGACGACGACAACGAAGAACAAGACCACGAAACCACGACACAGGAAACCAAUACAACAAUAAACUGCAAGAGGGAACGGUGCACUGGUGAACCACGGGACCAAAAAGAAGAAGAAAUUGAAAGAGGGAGAGUUCAGCCACCAAAAGAAGAAGAAAUUGAAAGAGAGAGAGUUCAACCACCAAAAGAAGAAGAAAUUGAAAGAGGGAGAGUAUCGUAACCCUAAUGGAAAUUCGAACCAAAGAUUAAACCUUUUCAAAAAAAAUUGUGGGCCCUGCAACAACAAUUUAAUAUUUGUUUUUUUGCCACGUACACUGAGCAAUGAGAUAAGCGGUUGUUCAACCAACAUUUUCCUAAUAUAUAUUAGUGUUUACUUUAAAAAGUCAAUUUUAAUUUAACUUAAUCUAUCGCCGUACUAAUUUUACACCCCUUGUCACUGUUUCUUAUGACAAUAUUAAAACAUUUAUAGUUUCGAUAUUUUAACCCUAAUACAAUUUUUGGGCUGAUUUUCCUUCACUAUAUCAAUUCAGAAUUGUAUUGUUCUUAAUUAUUUAAAUUUUUUUUUGCCUUUCGAAUAUUCAUAAUUCAAAUUACAAAAUUUUGGAUAUACAAAUAUGUAAUAUGUCAGUUCCAGAUUUCACUAUCCGGAAGCUUAUCUAGACAACAUAAAUGACAUUUUGGAUGUCAAGAUUCAUAAGAAACAUAAAUAAGUUCCAGAUCUUAAUCCUUAACAUCAUUUAUAGUACACCAUUCCAGAUAUGAAAAAUCAUAACUCAUAACUCACUUCUAAAUAUGAUCAUCUAAAAACUUAAAUGAAAUAUAAAAAUUGAUUGAGUUUCUGAACAAACUUGCGCUCAAUAAGCCCAAUCAAAGUCUUGGGCUGUAUACCAUUGCCAACCAAAUUACCAUCUGUUUACAUUAAAAAAAUAAAUGAAUAAUUUAUCCUUUUCCUUUAUGUCUAUUAUUAUUACGAUUCUAAUAAAUAAAUGCAACAUAUAAUAAAAAUAUAAUUUAUUUCCUCAAAAUAUAUGCAUAAUAAUAAUGAAAUUGAGAAUAAAAAAUAUCUCCUGCUUUAUCUCAUACAGAUACAUCUCAUUGUCAGGGUCAGCAAUAGUAAUUAAUAAUGAUUUUAUUUGAUUGCUUUUUGAUACUUCCUGAUUUAGCUUUCAUGGUGACACUGAUCAGGAUAAGCAUAGAUCUUAUUCGCUAAUUUAGCUUUUAUGUUUCUAACUUGCUUUUUCCCACCUAAAGCUACUUUCACAUUGCAAUUUAAGAAGAAAAAAAACUGCAAGCUAUUUCUAGACAGUUAAGAAAAGAAGAACAAAUCAAAGUAAGCCAAUGCUCAUCUCUCGUGGAAUCACACACCACAUUUUCCAUAUCAAUGAAGACAUAAAAUAAACCAAAAAAAAAGUGAAGAAAUAUUUAAACAUUAAUUAAAAUUUUAAUUCUACUUAUUGACCAAGUAUAAUAAAUUUAGUUGUAUUUUUUUAUCAUGCUACAAAUAUCUUGCUUCCACUAGACUAAAUUUAGUUCUAUUUGAAAGAUAAUUCAAUUAUUUAUAUUAGUUUUAUUUAUUAUUAUCCAUAUCAAAACUUAAAACGUUUUGAAUAUUUAUAGCGUGAAACAUAUUUUUUAUUAAAAAAAAACUCAAAAUAUUAUGACUAAGUCAUAUUCACUAUCUAGAUUAUCUAUAUUAAGAUAUUACAAAAUUUCUAUUUUUUAUGUUUACAAUUUAUUUAAUCAAGAUUAAACUCAAAACUUACUACUUUGGUAUCAUCGUCUUUUGAAGUAACAUAAUUCAAUUUUUUUCCACAAAAACCUAACAUGCUCUACGACAGAUUAAAUAUACUUUAGUUAUUCUCCAGAAUUAUAAUUAUAUUUUCAAGAAUGAUAAUUUUUUACAUGAAAAUAAUUUUAUACUAAACACUUCCUCAAAGUUAUAUUAGAAUAAAUAACACGUUAAGCUGUUUCAAUAAUUCUAAGAGUAUAAUAAUUCACAAUAUACUCUUGACACAUGCUUUCAUUGUAACUUUGAUAUACAUGCCAUCUUCACACAAAAAUACAAUUGGAGAAAAGACAAACGAAAAAAGGUUCCAAAUAUAAAACUGUAAAGGGUCCCAAAAAGGAUUAGAGAAACUAUUUGAUUCUAGAUAUUUCGAGGGGACAACACAAUAAUGAUACUCAGCAAGACCACGAGUAUGCCACGCGCCCAAUCCUAGCUUUGCAUAUCAGCCCUCCACGUUUUGUCGCAUCCAACGGUUCUCACUUCACCAAGUUCUCCAUUUACUCUCACACGCCCAUCUCGAUCACCACGCUCACAAUAUUAACACAGUCGCCAUUCCUACGAAACAAACCCUUUCCGUUCCCUUCCGUCUUCGUCUGUUUUUCAAAUCCCCCUUUUAGCGGAAUUCCGAAUCUAAACCAUGCUUCUCCGAACCGCUGCUGCUUCGUCACUCUCCCUCUUCAACCCCAACGCCGAACCUUCGCGUUUGGUUCCCGUUCAGGGAAACAAAGCGAGCCGGUUGGUGGUUCGCGCCGCCAAAGGAUCCACGAACCACCGCGCCCUAACCGGCGUGAUUUUUGAACCGUUCGAGGAGGUAAAGAAGGAGCUCGAUCUCGUUCCCAUCGUUCCACAAGCUUCUCUCGCACGCCAAAAAUACGUUGACGAAUCUGAAGCCGUCGUUAACGAACAAAUCAAGUUGCUCCUCUCUCUCUCUCUCUCUCUCUCUUCUUUCUCGUUGUUUUCAUUUCACUUUGUUAUUUUAUCGUUCUGAUUGUCGUUUUUUGGAUGCAGUGUGGAGUAUAACGUUUCGUAUGUAUAUCAUGCUAUGUUUGCGUACUUCGAUAGGGAUAACGUUGCGCUGAGAGGUCUUGCUAAGUAAGUCACGGUUUGUUAACUUUUUAAUUUAUCUUUUUAUUUGAUACUGCUACUAAUGAGGAGUGAUAAUUUUGUAAUUACUAAUUAUUGUUUUGAAAAGGUUUUUCAAGGAAUCGAGUGAAGAAGAACGAGAGCAUGCUGAGAAAUUGAUGGAGUAUCAGGUUUUUUACUUUGACUUAUUUUAAUUAUUUUGGCGUAUUGAUUGACGUUCAUGUUGAACUCUGAAUUGUAAUUGUGUUGUUGCGAUGUAUUUGUUUUAUUCAUUUUCAGAACAAGCGUGGUGGAAAAGUGAAGUUGCAGUCAAUUGUGAUGCCGCUUUCUGAGUAUGAUCAUGCAGAUAAGGGGGAUGCCCUGUACGGUUAGUUUUCUGGCCUUGUAAUUUCUCUUUUUAGUGUUUUCAGUUCAGAUCAUGUGUGUGAUUUGUGGUUUUGAUUCUUGAAAUCUUACGAGUUUUUAGAUCGUCUCUAGAAUUGGAAUUCUUAGUUGAUAUAAUAGUUCGUGAAAGACUCUGUACAUAUUUGAUACUAUUCUUAGCAUCUUAUGAUGAAUCACAAAUGAUUUGGAAUUAUGCAAAUACAUAUGUGAAUGUUGUGAGACCUUUUAUUUAUUUGUGUACUCAUAAUUUAUUGUCAAUCAAAUUGGAAAGUUUUACGAAUGGGAGUUUGUAUGAAAAGAAAUUUAAGGAGCACUCCUAAACAUAAACCUCUCCGUUUUUCGUUUGUAUGAAAGUAGGAUUUUAUCCUUCACUAUUUGUAUUGGUCUCUAUUUUACCCUUUCCACAUAGCUAUGAGAGUUGUGGUCGGGUUCUUCUGUCAAUUCUAAUUAAAAAUUAUUGCAUUUGAGAUAUACACGUCAUUUAUAGUAUUUAAUUAUUUAUUUCAAAAAUAUUCUUCAUAUCGCUAUUUCUAAUUUGUAUUUGUGAUACCAGGAGGUAUCAGGACUGAAUUAUAACAAUAUGCAUUUAUUUAUACUUCAUAAACAUAGCAUGAUAUACAUAAGAAAUGUGUUUUUCUACUAAUUAAAAUGAAAUAAAAAUAAGAAGAAACAAUGAAAUGUGUUUUUCUACAAAUUAAAAUGUUUAAUUCAUUUAUUAUAAAUUAAUUAAUUUAUAGAAGUUAUCUUAUAUAGUUUAUUUUUAUUUUCUCAAGUAUUUACGGAUAAACUUAAUCACAAGCAAGUUUGUUCUGGCCACUAAUGUUAUUUAAAUUAAAUAAAAUCCAGAUUGGAUGUUACAUUUGUAUAUUAUUACUAUUUAGAGAUACAAUAUUUAUUACGAAAAUGGUAAAUACGAAUUAAAGCGUCAACUUGUUCAAUAUAUUUUAACUUCUUUCGGCUUUUUCCUCUUGAAGUUAUCCACUGGAUUCAUUAUUUGUCAGAGUUAAACAUGUUUUCUUCCUCUUGUUUCAGCAAUGGAACUCGCUCUAUCAUUAGAGAAACUAACGAACGAAAAGCUCCUUCACUUGCACAGUGUAAGCCACCUUUUAUUGGAUCUUAGUUCUGGUUUUGCUGCGUUGUUUCAUUUCAUUGGUCUUGUCUAUGUCGAUAAUGAUUUGUUAAAAGAAGUCCCUUACUUUGAACUUGAUGCAUGUAUCUUCAGGUUGCCACGAAGAACGGUGACGUGCAGUUGACAGACUUCGUCGAAAGCGAGUUUCUGGGUGAACAGGUAUAAAUGCAUUGUAAAUUUGGUGUUGCAACCGGCAAUUUUUCAAAUAGUGAGAUAUUGUACAUAUUUCUUUGUGUUUUAUGCAUGGCAUUUGGCAAAACAAGACUAAUCUUUAGUUGUUUCUUUCUUAGGUGGAAGCCAUCAAAAGAAUAUCUGAGUAUGUUGCUCAGCUCAGAAGAGUUGGCAAAGGACAUGGUAAGAAAUUUCAAACUCUGGUAUUUGCAUUUUACUUUCCCGAGACCAAUGAUCAAAGUAUAGUUGUAUCUGAUCAAAGUAUCGUUGUAUCUUAUUUGUUUUCCUGGAUGAACUUUCAGGUGUGUGGCACUUUGAUCAGAUGCUGCUACACGAGGCAGCUUGAUGAUUACUGUUUUCCCCCUUUCUCUUGUUACUAUGUGUAUCUUUCUCAUCUAGUGAAUUUCGAGUCUUGUGCUAGAUGGUGGAACUGAAACUAAGGAUGAAUAAAAUAAAUGAGAACUGUUUUGGACACAUCCAUGUUUUGAAGUUUAUUUAUUAUUUGAUCAGGGCAAAACAAACUUUAUUUCAAAACAUUCUCCCUAAAAUAAAGGCAAUUAAUGUAAUAAAUCUCACCAUAUAAUAAUGAAAAUUUGAUGUACUAUUUUCAACAAACAUAUUUUAUAAUUAAUUCAAUAUUUCAUUAUUUAUUUUAUUGAGAUAAAUAGUUUUUGUUGUGUAGUUUUGUAAUAUUGCCAUUUUCUUCAAUAUGGGUAACAUUGUUUUUACUUAUUAACUUCGCAUGUAUCUCACGCUAUCCACUGAUAACCACUGAUAAGAGGUUAUUCAUUUUUAACUUAACUUUUUUAUUCCUUUCACUGGUUAUUGAAGGUUGAAGUUAUCAAUUGUCCAAUUCAAGUAAUCGAUUAUCAACACCCUUGAAAGGAUAAUCGUGGAUUGUUUUCCAUUUUUUUAUAUUUAUAUGGUUGUUGUGUUGUAUGAAAGACAUUUGAACAUUUUAUAAACCAUUAUGAACAAUUUUAUAAGUUAAUUGAUUGUAAGUUGCAAAGGGAAGUUUGAUGUUAAAAAGGUUUAUUACUUUUUCAUGUUUUGUUUGUUGUUUAUGAGGACUCUGUUUCUAUAGUUUGAAUCAUCAAGAUAAAAUUGUUACUGUGUAAGGAAAAUCUUACUCCCAUUCCUAUAAAAAAACAUUUUGAAGUAAAAAAAAAACAUUUUAAGUUUAGUAGUUUAAUUUUUAUUUAUCUCUUCUUUGCAACAUGUUUGAAUGCUUUGUUUUGAAAAUUUAUAUAUUAAUGUAUAAAAUGUUAUUAUUAUUUUGAUUAAAUAAAAAAAUUUAAACAGUUCACGUGUUAAAUAAAAAUAUAUUUUGAUGUGUGCUUGUUAUUGUAUCACUCUUGUUAUUGUUGGUUGCUUUGUUUAGAUCAUCAUCAGAUUGGUCUUACACUAUUUCUAUUAUGGUCACAUUUGGUUUGGCUUUGGAUGAUAGCUACCUCUGAAUGGAAAUUGAAUCUUUGAUGAAUGACUUGGAUUAGCUUAUAUAAAGGUUGAGGUGUGGAUCUUAUUGUGUUGUAACCCUAACUCUUAACCUUACUCUUAACUCUAACCUUAACCCCUAACUCUAAUCAUAACCUUAAUCUUUAAGAAUAUCCCUAACCAUUAAUUCUAAACUUUAACCCUUUAUCAUAUUCCUAACCAUUAACCUGAUUCCUAAAUUUAAACAUACUUAUCAUCAUUAAACCUAAACUCUAAACCUUAAACUAUAAUCAUAGCCAUAAUAUACCUUAAUCUUAAACUCUAAACCUUAAACUAUAAUCAUAGCCAUAAUAGUAACCUUAAUCCUAAAUAAAAAUAACUAUUUCGCAUAUUCACUAAUUUAUAUCACUAAUUAAGGGAAAUUGAGUUUGUAAAUGAGAAAAACAUUGUUAAUUUUAUACAAGUAAUUGGAUAUAACAUAAAAAAUCAAAAUGUUUCAUUCUUCUUUUAUCGCUAUGAGAAAUAGUGUCAUGUCAUUUUCAUAAUGUGCUGAAUGCAAUUUUGAUGUUGGAUGGAAAAUUCUUAAAUCAAUCAUUUGAAACCGAAGUGCAACUUAUAUCUUAAACAACAACCGAUUUUACUCAUACUUGAAGGUUACAUUGUAACAAUCUAAAGUCUGACUUGACAUACACCGAUUUUACUCAUACUUUAAGGUUACAUUGUAACAAUCUAAAGUCUCACUUGACAUACACGAUAUAUGUGUUCAUUGUUAUUGACAUUAUGAUUUUUUUACUUCAUAGGAUUGCUUAGGUGUCAUAGAUAGCAUUGGUGUAUGUAUGAAGGUGGCACAAUUGGAUGCUCCUCGUUUUUGCAGGAGAAAAGAUUGACCAACUUAAAAUAUAUUUGUAGUUUAUGAUUUUGUCAUGAAAUUCAUAUAUUAUAUAGUCGUAUGAGAAAGAACUUCAUUUGAUUCAAAAAUAUUGAAAAAUGUAUUUGUAUGAGACAAUCUAUUGAUUAUACUUAAAUGUUUGUUUAAAAUAUUUUGGUGUACACAUUGUCAUUUAGGACAUACUAUUUACGUUUACAUACAAUCAUGGUAAGAAAAUACUAUAUUACUUUUUUAUUAAAUUAUGUUAUUUUUUUAUUAUAUUAUAUUAUAUUAUUUUUUAUUCUUAUUUAUAUUAUAUUGUAUUAUUUUUUAGUUUUGUUAUAUUAUAUUAUAUUUAAUUAUAUAAUUAUAUUUAAAAUUAAUUGAAUAUUUAAAAUUUUUGUAAAAUAAAAUUUUUGUAUUUUAAAAAAUAUUAUGAAAAUCGAUUUGAGAAUCGAUUUCUUUAUCUUAAUAAUGUGAAAAUCGAUUUGUAUGUGUUAAUAGUGUAAAAAUAUCAGUACAAAGAUUCAUUCCUAAGAGCAUAUUGUCUUUCUUUCUCAUCACAUCUCUUAAUCCAAAACACAUCAAAUCUCUUAAUCCAAAACACAUGACACACUUACUUCCGUAUUCACGAACACUUGUAGACACAAGUGUACCAUCCACAUUAACUUCAAUUUCUUCUCAUACUCUAACCUCUUUCCUCUUAUAUUAAUUAAUAAUACUUUACUCCUUUUCGUUUUAACACUUUUAAUCAUAAUUUAAAUAAUAUUUAACAUACAUUUUAAUAAAAAUAUAAAAACAAACUUAUUAAAUACUAUUUAAUAACAAAUUAUACGUAAUAUACUAAUGCCAAUAAUUUUACUAAUAUCAAUUUUAUCAAAUAAUAACUUCAUACCUACGUCUCAUACAAACUAAUCAGGAUGAUGAGAGUUUUGCCACAAAAAAAUGUAAUAAUAAAUAUUCAAGAAAGGAGAAUAAUUUACCCAGUACAAAACCAUUUGGAAUCACAAUAAUGGAUAAAUAGUUUUUGAUAAUGUUAGUACGGGGUAACAUUUUCAAAAUUAGAAAUCCCUACUUAAUACAAUUCUUAAUCUAAAAAUUACCCAGAAACUAAACAAUUUUAUAAAAAUUAAAGACAAUACAUAGAUUCUUUAAAGUGAAAACAUUUACCCUAAGCAACGAUGAAUAUAACGUUUUAUAAACAAUUCUAGGAUUCUGAAGGAUGCGUAUUAAAUAUUUGAACCAACUUUCUUGAAUGAUUAUUUCUGCUUCAGAAAAAGAGGCUGCAAUAUUUAAAAGUUAACUCACAUAAAUAGUUAUUAACAUAAACGUCAUAAAUAUAUUUUAAAAGAAAUUUCCUUUAAAAAAUAUAAUCCAUAGAUUCAUUUAAUAAAGCACACCAAAAAUCAUAUUCAGUUCAAUAGGGACUAUAACUACGCGAUUAUUCUACUUAGAUAAAAACCGAUUUUGCGAUUUGUGCAACCAGAAAACAAGUAAAUAAAUACUGGAGAAAGAAAAGAUUACAUCAUGAAUUUAACAGCCACAAUGAAGUUGUAUAGUGCAAGAGUCAAAAUUCAACAACAAAAAUCUGUCGGACAAAAGGAAUUAAACACCAAAAACAUAGAAUUAAACUACGAAAUGCUCAAGUCUAUUAAUUCAGAAGGGGGAAUUAAGCAGCAGUUGCUUGCUGAGCGGCAGUCCUUUUUCUAGCUUCCUCAAUGAUGGAUAGCUUAAUACCCUUACCCUUGGGAAGUGAUAUCAAAGGCUUU
rnacentral:lncRNA from 1 species